AGAAGUAUAGCAGAUCUAUUAUUGAGAUUUGGUGGUGCAGUUUCUUUAGGCGUCGUAGUUGAUAUUUCCUACCACCGCGAUAUACCUUCGGCAUUAGGAGGGUUAGUAUUUGGAGGAGGUGGUUAAUUGGAGGUAGGAGAGAAAGAGAAAAGUGUCGUACGUGCGGAGCGUUCUCACCGAAACGACAAUUUUAUAGGAAGAUGCUCGUGCAGUUCGUCCUCACCGAGCAAUAAGGAUGGAUGAAUGAAUGGAUAAAAGGAAAUCACGCACUGGUUAACGAUAAUAACUUUAAUUAUGUAUUAAAUAUUUCACUAAAGUACAUUGAUUAAUUACACCUUUGAAUAAUGUUCCGAACGCGAACGCGUUUAUUUUAUUGAUUGAAUUUUUAAUUUCAAUUUCCUGAAGUUAAUUCGAGAAUUCUAACUUAUUUAAUUGACAAGGAUAAACUGUAGCGUAAAAUUUUAAGUUGAAUAAUGACUGCUUAAGGCUCAAGAUUAGUAGCUUGCGACUUGUUGAGUAGAGCUGCGAACGAUGACUGAUUGACGAU